rnacentral:lncRNA from 1 species
UGUGUAUAAACCUUGCUGUCUGUCUCUCCGACAUUUGUAACAUUGUUUCAAUAUUCAAAUUCAAUCUCCUGUUGUCCCAUAGUAAUGAACGUGUUAGGACCAGACAGGCAGGCAGCGUUUUUCAGCCAGUCAAAAUCAUGAAUCAGCUGGUAUCAUUUUUAUGGAUAUAUACAAAAAAGGUCAAUUGAAAAAAGGUCAAACGAAACGCAGCUAAUUUGCAGUCUUUCCAGCUUCAGUUUGCAGUGAUUGUGUUACUGUAGCUGUGUUGUUGGCUAGCUCCUCUGAACAACAGUGUCCUGACGAAGGAUACUUUUUCCUCCAGACCAACAGCGAUGGGGAGCACGAUGGCUCCUAAUUAUGGGAAAACCCGUAGAAGCCUUCAGACCUGGACUACAGCAAUAUACGGACAAGUGAGAGAGAAAAACCCGGUUGCUGUUCAUUUUGUACCAGCUGGACAUCCUAUUAGUUCUCUGAGAUACAUAGGAAUAGAAAUGGUCAAGAUGUCACGCAGCGGAGGGGACAUUGAGAGGAAACUUCUUCAAAAAGGGAAUCUUUCUGGAUCCACAGCCUCGACACACUGUCUCCUCUUGGCCUUAACGAGGAGUUCGACUUAAAACCGUUUUUAUAGUUCCAAAUAAUUGUGUUUUGUAUCCUAAUUGAAUAUUGUGUAGGCUGGAGUCAUUAAAACUCGUUUUUCAACUACUCCACAAAUUUCUUGUUAACAAACCAUAGUUUUGGCAAGUCGGUUAGGACAUCUACUUUGUGCAUGACACAAGUAAUUUUUCCAGCAAUUGUUUACAGACAGAUUAUUUCACUUAUAAUUAACUGUAUCACAAAUCCAGUGGGUCAGAAGUUUACAUACACUAAGUUGACUGUGCCUUUAAACAGCUUGGAAAAUUCCAGAAAAUUAUGUCAUGGCUUUAGAAGCUUCUGAUAGGCUAAUUGACGUCAUUUGAGUCAAUUGGAGGUGUACCUGUGGAUGUAUUUCAAGGCCUACCUUCAAACUCAGUGCCUUUUUGCUUGACAUCAUGGGAAAAUCAAAAGAAAUUAGCCAAGACCUCAGAAAAAAAAUUGUAGACCUCCACAAGUCUGGUUCAUCCCUGGGAGCAAUUUUCAAAUGCAUGAAGGUACCACGUUC